UGGGGAAUAUUGGACAAUGGGCGCAAGCCUGAUCCAGCAAUGCCGCGUGUGUGAAGAAGGCCUUCGGGUUGUAAAGCACUUUAAGCAGGGAAGAAAAAACCUCGGUCUAAUACAUCGAGUCUUGACGGUACCUGAAGAAUAAGCACCGGCUAACUCUGUGCCAGCAGCCGCGGUAAUACAGAGGGUGCUAGCGUUAAUCGGAUUUUACGGGCGUAAAGCGUGUGUAGGUGGUUGUUCAAAGUCAGUUGUGAAAUCCCCUGGGCUUAACCUGGGAACUGCUUCUGAGACUGAACGACUAGAGUACGGUAGAGGGUGGUGGGAUUUCCGGUGUAGCGGUGAAAUGCGUAGAUAUCGGAAGGAACAUCAAUGGCGAAGGCAGCCACCUGGGCCUGUACUGACACUGAGACACGAAAGCGUGGGGAUCAAACAGGAUUAGAUACCCUGGUAGUCCACGCC
rnacentral:rRNA from 1 species